rnacentral:rRNA from 1 species
CAGGUGCUGCAUGGCUGUCGUCAGCUCGUGUCGUGAGAUGUUGGGUUAAGUCCCGCAACGAGCGCAACCCUCGCCUUUAGUUGCCAGCAUUCAGUUGGGCACUCUAAGGAGACUGCCGGUGUCAAACCGGAGGAAGGUGGGGAUGACGUCAAGUCCUCAUGGCCCUUAUGUCCAGGGCUACACACGUGCUACAAUGGCCGGUACAAAGGGGCGCAAGACCGCGAGGUGGAGCAAAUCCCAAAAAACCGGUCUCAGUUCGGAUUGGAGUCUGCAACUCGACUCCAUGAAGUUGGAAUCGCUAGUAAUCGCGUAUCAGCAUGACGCGGUGAAUACGUUCCCGGGCCUU